UACAGAGGGGGCAAGCGUUGUUCGGAAUUACUGGGCGUAAAGGGCGCGUAGGCGGCCUUCUAAGUCAGACGUGAAAUCCCUCGGCUCAACCGGGGAACUGCGUCUGAGACUGGAAGGCUUGAAUCCGGGAGGAGGGAUGUGGAAUUCCAGGUGUAGCGGUGAAAUGCGUAGAUAUCUGGAGGAACACCGGUGGCGAAGGCGGCAUCCUGGACCGGUAUUGACGCUGAGACGCGAAAGCGUGGGGAGCGAACAGG
rnacentral:rRNA from 1 species